rnacentral:tRNA from 1 species
GAGGAUAUAGCUCAGUGAUAGAGUGCAUUGCUUAGCAUGCACGAGAUCCUGGGUUUAAUCCCCGGUACCUCCA